UAAAUUGAUACCAUGCUCGACUCCUUGGCUAUGACAGGGAAGAGGUAUUGCUGUUAAUGUUCCUGAACGAGCUUUAAAAACGAUCAACACUUGUAAAGGGCUUAAAAUGUUGGGUAUCCAAACUGAGGAUGCAAAGACAGGCAGAAUGAAAUACCACAAGGACGACGCAAUGCCGAGUUUGCUAAUCAACUCACUUUUAACAAUAAUGAUAAUAAUGAUUUUAAAUUUUGGCACAAGGCCGGUAGUUUUAGGUGGUGAAGUCAGUCAAUUACAUCGACUCCACUA